AACAUGGAUCUGUUCCGGAGAUAAAGCAGCACUGAGGAGGAUUGGUGGAUGCUAACUGCAGUUGUUGAGAAGAUGCAAGGUUGUGUUUUCCUUCUCAAAAGAUCACAGCCUGCUCAUUCUUUCCAUGGCUCAUGAAGGUGACAAGAUGGGACAACUGAAGGAACACAUUUGUGAAGUUACCUGCUCAAAGCCGUAACAGACGCCAAUGAUAAAUCCAGGAACAGAAGCCCAAGUUGCGGCCUAACACCAUCAACAAGCCAAUGUAACCAACAAGAAAGUUUGUCUUUUGAUGUUAUUGCAAUACCUAUAUAUUAUAUAUAGGUUAUACCAUAGCAAUACCUAUACAUUAAUAAUUUACCCAAGACGAACACAUUUGAGUAUGUAUAUUUGCCUAUGUUCUUGUAAAUAAUUCAAAAGGUUUCUUUGAGUUCUAAUUCUGAAUUUAAUAUCUAAUAUAUAUAUAUAUGUAUAAGAUAACUGGGCAAUUUUCCACAACAAUUUAUUCAUAAGUCAUGAUUAAAACAUACAGUUUAGAGUCCAACUUUAGGGUCUUCAGGGUUCGGAGCAUCUUACACUUCAGCUUGCCUUUAUAGAAGACAGUAGAUGGUUUGCAGCUCAGGAAAAGGAAAUAAAGUUGUAUAUUGUUCUUAGCAUUGGAAAUCACUUUUAGAAAUAUUUCUGUGUGUUGGAAGCACCAAAAGCUCGUGUCUGACUGUGGUUUAGCUGUAGGGGAGGCUAUGGCAAUGGACCCAGGCAGCAGAGGAGCUAUGAUUAUGGAAGCCCAUUAGAGAGCCUAAUGCUGCCUGGUGUAUUGAGCAGUAUCGGACAGUUUUGGCAAAGGUACAACUUGCUUUCUGUCUCUUGUGGCUGUGUCCUCCUAUCCUGAGUCAGGAACAUGUGCACAAUACUUCUUUGUGAGAUGCUGAUCUUUUGGGAUGUUAAGCACCAAUAGUUGCAUUAGCAGCUGGUUUUACUUGCAGUCGAGGCUUUGAAGCAGCACAGCAGCUUUUUGCAUAGGGUAGGGAGUGUUUCCUUCUAGCUUUCACUUCAAUCUGACAUUUUAGUGCUGUGGCUUCCCAAAAUAGGGCUAGUGUCCAACACUGAAACACCAUGGAAGCAUUGUCUUAGUAGUAAGUAGCUUUGUGGUUUAUUAAGAGCAAAUAUUAAAUCAGAUUGGAAAAAUAUAUUACUUCUACAAAAUACUCCUUAUAGGACCUUUACAGUUUUCACAUCUUUAUUUUCAAUAGUUGGCCUGGACACAGGUGAUGAGCAUGCUCAGACAAUGUGUCAGGUUAGCUGCAAUCAAACCCAUAAAGUGUCUGCAAUUCAUCCAUGCUUCUCCCACCAGCAGGUGUCAUUCUGGAAAAAGGAAAAUAUUGUAAAUUUCUGAACUGGAGAAUUUGGCUGUGACAAAGAAGAGAAAAAGUUUACUUAAAAUAUGGCUUUUGAAGGAUAUUUUAUUCCAAAUUAAAACCCGAAGAAAGCUGGCUCGUCUGCAUUUUUUAAUAAUCUAUGUGCAGUGAGUUAUCCUGACCUAUAAGUAACAAAGGGCAGACAACUGGUAAGGCAAACCAAUGUCUGCUUAAAGCUAUCUUCUGCUUUUUAUUGUUCUCUGUGACAUGUUUAACACUGCUUACUUACCCCCCAAGACUAUAAAAUCAGUGAUAUUCAUCAAUCUUCCCAAAGGAAAAAAAGAAUUAGAUGUUGAAUUCAGCUCUCAUUUACUUCAAUGUAAACUUGAAGAAAUCUCAUUGAAGCAACUGAAAUCAGUAGAAAUGUUUGGAAUUUAGUCUGAAGUAACCAAAAGAAAGUAGCAUUUAACUUUCUACUCCAUAAAUGAGCCUCAAGCAGAAAAUAAUCUCUUAUAACAUUUAUGCUUUCUUUUAAAUGUUCAUCUGGGUAUUAGCUGCAACCUCCUUUAAUAUCUAGAGACUUUUUGAUUUCCCUUAAUCACAGUGAGAGAGCUAUAGCUGAGUUGUAAAGAACCAAGACCCUGCUGGUUCAUUGUGAGGGUUCCUGAUAUACGAAGUCUAGUUUUCUGGCUGUUAAAAACAAACUUUCUGUGAAAUUCAUGCAGGAGGUGCCUUGCCCACCCUAUAGGCUACUAAAAGUUUGUUCCAACCCAUCAUAGCUCUGAUGAUUAUAAAUAUUUUUCUGUCUUUCUGUCUUCUAAAUUUAUCCAGACCCCUUGUAUCUAUAUUGUCCUUUUGCAUUAGUUUUUUCUCCUACCAUUUACAUCACCAUGUAGCUGAGAGGUUUGGGCCCAAGCACUCUAGGCUGAACAAAUACAGUUUGCAUAGUUUUCUUCCAGAAGCUCAUUUCCAAUUCCCUGGCAUUACUUUAAGUUAAAUUUAUCUACUUUAAAUAGGCAAGCAGAAAUGUGCAUCCUUUGUUGUUUCCCUGUAUACAACAUUAAUGCAACAGCUUCCACACCCUUCUAGAAAUACUUCACCUGGUAGGUCUUAGCCCUGUAUCUGAUUUCUUUCUGGUAAAUUCAUCACCAUCAUCUUCCAUUUGACUAGUUCAGCCAGGCUUAUCUUCUCCUUAGCCAUUUCUAGAAGUGUUACUAUAAAGGAUAGUUUGCUACUAUGAUGUGAUGCUCCACCAAAACUCUUCUUGGAAUUAAAGGGAAAUUUGCUUGAGGAAAAAUAUGAGAACAAGCUCCAAGGCUUGGCUGCAAGGAGCACAUUGAAGUGGGAAUCAAUUUUACAUUUAUAAAAUUUGUAUUUGCAACAAAGUAACGUAAAAUAAUUGUACUGCAGGCAGCCAUGUCUUUUCCAAGAUAUUAUUUAACUAUGAAUGUCACAGUGCUUCUCCUGUGAACAGUAUCAAGCACUCAGUGGCUGAAUGGGAAAAAAUAGUACAUAGACUUAGAAUUAAAAACUUCACUCUAAAAUAGCUAAAAGCUGUAUUCUUAGAUUUGCAUGAAGCCUGUAUUACUAUUUUCUGACUUUUUGAGUUUUUAACUUUGAAAUGUAGUGGUAUUCUAAAAUUUCAAGUCAGAAAGUAUAAAAGUAUUGUGAAUGUGACUAGUUUAUUACGAACUUUAUAGGAUCAAGAUAACAAGCAGUGAUGAUCUCCAGCAGGUUUUUUACAGUAAAGGAUGAGAUUUAUACAACAAUUUCUUUAUAGUUUUUACUAAUUUUUCCAUGUUUUUAGCUAAGUGAAAUAAUAUAAAAUUCUGUUUAGUCUCUUUUGGUUUUUAAUUUUAGUGUUUUAUUUUACUAAUUUUAGAAAAAAAUGAGCAUGCCUAAACAUAGACCUCCUGUGCCAUUUUAGAGCCCUGGGGGAUCCCACCUGGUCUCUCACUGCCAGUUAAAAGUGUGGUCUUUUGUCAAAGGUCAAAAGUCUCCUGUA